GAUUUUCUUCAAGAUGGAGGAAUAUGAAAUAUACCAAGAAAAUUCAGAUGCCAGGCCUGGUAAAAGAUCUGCAAUCCUGUUUUGAGAGAAGACUGUGUUCUCAUGGAGAACAGAAGAGAUAGUCUGAUAAGAUGGGCUUGUUCCUCCAAGCUCAGUAGCUGUGACUUCUGAUUUUGUGGCGUCUCCAGUCAUUGAAGCAGCA
rnacentral:lncRNA from 1 species